CUCUCAUGAAAGUGACCUUGUGGGGAAGCUGAGUGGUAACCCAAGAAAUAACGAGGAAAUAAAAAGUGGGAUUGAAAUGUGCAGCCUGACCUGCGAGGAAAAUGACCACCCCGGUUUUAAUUAAGGAAGAGCAGAGAGAGAGAUUUCUUCAUGCUUAUUUAAUUAUGUUGAAAUGUUAUCCCACAAACCCACUCCCGCACAGCCAUGAGAGAAAAGCAAAAGCAAGAAUAAACUCUUGAUUCCUUCAACUCCAAAGGUGACACCAGUAGCCAACAAGGACAUCCUCCACUGUGAGUGCC